CUUUUUUUUUUUUUUUAAUUUUUAGUUCUACAUUUGUUAUUGAAAUAUCACAAACAGGAUUAACCUAAGACAAGGCUUUUGCAUGGUGGAAAGAGAAAAUAUGUAAGUUGUGCAGGUAAGAAUAAUGUUCUUGUUCACAUUAGCUAGUGCAAUUGAAAUGAGAAUGCCACACAAUAUGCAACAAAAACAUCAUUUAGAACUUUAUUAUCUUUCUUAAACACUGGUAUGAUUUGCUCACAAAUCUCUGAUGAGAGGCAGCAAAAGGACAGCUAUAUUUAACAUGAAAAACAAGUAGAACUGUCACAGGUGCCCGGUGGACCUUAAACAAAUGUUCACUUGGUGUGUAUCACUGGCCAGCAGCAAAUGCCUCAACUGGGAAAGUUUUGGUGAUGCCAGCAAGACUUUUGAAGUGAAUUUUGCCAGUGGGUGGGUUAUCAACAAUAAUCUCACUAACUGGAGGCCAGAGCAUGAGCUCCUUAGCCUUGAUUCCCUUGAGUUUCUUGAUCAGAUUCUUGCUGACAAAACCAGUUAUUUCAGGGUCGUAGCUCACAAGCUUGCUGAUCAUCUUGAAGUUGUGCUCUACCUUCUUCUUUUGCCGGAUCCACAUGUAUCCACUAUUCCUAACGAAACCAACUUCGAUCACGUCUUCAAGAGGGAGAAGUCCCAGAGGAAGUCCAAACUCUUCAAGAAGAGAAAUUGCCAUUUUUAGCCCCUCAUCAUGACCCUUCUUUACAAUUCCUCCUUCCUUCUCUGCCAUGCUUGAUGGGUUCCUAGUUUCUUUGUUAUCAAAUGAUUUUGAGGCUAAUUUGUUUCAUUUAACUUGAGUUAAUGCUGUAUUUAUACCAAUUAAUCAUAUCAAGAAGACAAAAAUAUAUAUGGAGAAACCGAAGUGACAAGCAUUGUGUUAAC
rnacentral:misc_RNA from 1 species